rnacentral:lncRNA from 1 species
GGUUCAGAGUGCAUCUUUAAUCAGUUUUUAUUUUUUUUAGUACCAGGGAUUGAACUCAGGACCUUGUGCUUGGAGGCAGGUUCGGAACCACUGAGCUAAAUCCCAGCCCAUAUGUAUGAAUCCUGCCACAUCUGAGCCACGAUGAACCCCGGGAUCUCCACAAGGCCACUUAAAGCCCUAACUGCCUACAAUCAUCCUCUGGACACUCACUCUCCUGGAUCUGGUCCUGACCUCUGAGAUCCAGCACUUGACACCUGUGUACCCAUCAUUCCUCCCGGCCUAAUGUUUUCUGAGCCCGAAGCCACCUCCUCCAAGGAGCCGGCUGCCGUCAGUUGCACCUGCCCGGCCGGCCGUUCAGGCUUGGACCUGCAGUCCUCGCGGGGCUUGGAGCUCCAGAAGGCCAGAGCUGGGUCUCCUCACGGGGCUCCCAUGGAGCCGGCUCCCCAAA